rnacentral:ncRNA from 1 species
UGCCCUAAGCAUGGCGUAAAAAGGCAAAAACAUUUUAAUAUAUGUGAAGCUACCACGUAAAAAGCGUA